rnacentral:rRNA from 1 species
AGCGAACGCUGGCGGCAGGCUUAACACAUGCAAGUCGAGCGCCCGUAGCAAUACGGGAGCGGCAGACGGGAGAGUAACACGUGGGAACAUGCCCUUCGGUUCGGAAUAACUCAGGGAAACUUGAGCUAAUACCGGAUACGUCCGUAAGGAGAAAGAUUUAUCGCCGAAGGAUUGGCCCGCGUCCGAUUAGCUUGUUGGUGAGGUAAUGGCUCACCAAGGCGACGAUCGGUAGCNGGUCUGAGAGGAUGAUCAGCCUCACUGGGACUGAGACACGGCCCAGACUCCUACGGGAGGCAGCAGUGGGGAAUAUUGGACAAUGGGCGGAAAGCCUGAUCCAGCCAUGCCGCGUGGGUGAUGAAGGCCUUAGGGUUGUAAAGCCCUUUCGGCGGGGAAGAUAAUGACGGUACCCGCAGAAGAA